rnacentral:rRNA from 1 species
AUUGAACGCUGGCGGCAGGCCUAACACAUGCAAGUCGAGCGGAUGAAGGGAGCUUGCUCCUGGAUUCAGCGGCGGACGGGUGAGUAAUGCCUAGGAAUCUGCCUGGUAGUGGGGGAUAACGUCCGGAAACGGGCGCUAAUACCGCAUACGUCCUGAGGGAGAAAGUGGGGGAUCUUCGGACCUCACGCUAUCAGAUGAGCCUAGGUCGGAUUAGCUAGUUGGUGGGGUAAAGGCCUACCAAGGCGACGAUCCGUAACUGGUCUGAGAGGAUGAUCAGUCACACGAGAAUUGAGACACGGUCCAGACGCCUACGGGAGGCAGCAGUGGGGAAUAUUGGACAAUGGGCGAAAGCCUGAUCCAGCCAUGCCGCGUGUGUGAAGAAGGUCUUCGGAUUGUGAAGCACUUUAAGUUGGGAGGAAGGGCAGUAAGUUAAUACCUUGCUGUUUUGACGUUACCAACAGAAUAAGCACCGGCUAACUUCGUG